rnacentral:rRNA from 1 species
UACAGAGGUCUCAACCGUUGUUCGGAAUUACUGGGCGUAAAGCGUGCGCAGGCGGUUUUGUAAGUCAGAUGUGAAAUCCCCGGGCUUAACCUGGGAACUGCGUUUGAAACUACAAGGCUAGAGUGUGGCAGAGGGGGGUGGAAUUCCACGUGUAGCAGUGAAAUGCGUAGAGAUGUGGAGGAACACCGAUGGCGAAGGCAGCCCCCUGGGUUAACACUGACGCUCAGGCACGAAAGCGUGGGGAGCAAACAGG